rnacentral:rRNA from 1 species
UACGUAGGGUCCGAGCGUUGUCCGGAAUUACUGGGCGUAAAGCGCGCGCAGGCGGCCCGCGAGGUGUCACGUGAAAGCCCCGGGCUCAACCCGGGAGGGUCGUGGCAAACCGGCGGGCUUGAGGCCGGUAGAGGUGGGUGGAACUCCCGGUGUAGCGGUGAAAUGCGCAGAUAUCGGGAAGAACACCCGUGGCGAAGGCGGCUCUCUGGGACGGUACUGACGCUGAGACGCGAAAGCGUGGGGAGCGAACAGG